rnacentral:rRNA from 1 species
GAAUCCCGUCUUUGACACGGAUUGCCAGGGCUUUUGUGAUGCGCUCUCAAAGAGUCGAGUUGUUUGGGAAUGCAGCUCAAAAUGGGUGGUAAAUUCCAUCUAAAGCUAAAUAUUGGCGAGAGACCGAUAGCGAACAAGUACCGUGAGGGAAAGAUGAAAAGAACUUUGGAAAGAGAGUUAAACAGUACGUGAAAUUGCUGAAAGGGAAACGCUUGAAGUCAGUCGCGUUGGCUAGAAAUCAACCUUGCUUUUGCUUUGUGUACUUUCUGGUUGACGGGUCAGCAUCAAUUUUGACCACUGGAUAAAGUCUUUGGGAAUGUGGCAUCUUCGGAUGUGUUAUAGCCCAUUGUCGCAUACGGUGGUUGGGAUUGAGGAACUCAGCACGCCGCAAGGCCGGGUUUCGACCACGUUCGUGCUUAGGAUGCUGGCAUAAUGGCUUUAAUCGACCCGUCUUGAAACACGGACCAAGGAGUCUAACAUGCCUGCGAGUGUUUGGGUGGAAAAACCCAUGCGCGCAAUGAAAGUGAAAGUUGAGAUCCUCUUCAAAGGGGGAGCAUUGACGCCCGGACCAGACCUUUUGUGACGGAUCCGCGGUAGAGCAUGCAUGUUGGGACCCGAAAGAUGGUGAACUAUGCCUGAAUAGGGUGAAGCCAGAGGAAACUCUGGUGGAGGCUCAUAGCGAUUCUGACGUGCAAAUCGAUCGUCAAAUUUGGGUAUAGGGGCGAAAGACUAAUCGAACCAUCUAGUAGCUGGUUCCUGCC